CUGUGACAAGUAUUCAGAUGCCGCUGCUUUCUUUCUAAGACUUGGUUUUGCUGCCAAUAAGUGCAAUGCCAUGAACAGCCAAUGCAAGGUGCACUGCUUGCAUUGUGAGUUGUGGCUGACUGCAUGCAGCAUGUGCUACAUGCAACUGCAAGUAAUUUCCUGAUGAAGAAGCAAGUAAUAAGCAGGCAUGUACUUGUCCCAGAAGUAAAUAAUCUUUCUUCCAUGUAAUUUCAGUGUACAAUGUUCCAUCAUAUAAUUUCAGUAUGCAUUCUAUUAAGGUUUAGAACACUCGUAGUAAAAUCGUAAUAGUCAACAGAAAAAAACAACUGAGUAACCUGCAUUCUUCUGUAGUUCUCUGAAAUUAUGCCCCAAGCAUAAGCUUCUAUAAGCAUUUAACUGAUUGCCCGACAAAUGACUUCUAUAGUUCUGAAACUAUGUCCCAUGCAUAUGCUCUGGCAAGCAUGAACUAUGUCCCAUGCAUAUGUACAGUUCCUCUAACAAUCAACCAAUCAUGGCUUGCAUUCUAUACUUUAUUGUUGCCCUGUUGUCAAAUGCCCCUUUUGACAUGCUUUUGUUCUGAACUUACAAUUUUUUGGCAUGCCAACUCUCAUGUUUCUUCAUUUUGGUUAGAGGUCACUUCAAAUUUCAAGUACUCUUCUUUCAGUGAUGAUUCUGUCUGCAAAAUGGAUGAUGCUUUGGUUAUAUUUUGUUGCAGGAUUGAAUCUUUGGAGAUGAGUUGCGGAGCCCAUUGGAUAUCAUACAUCUUGUGCUUUCCAUUUGAUAAAAGAUAAAAUAUUGUAGCUUUCCUUUCCUAUUAGAACAGAAGGGCCAUGUACUGUGAUUAUUUGUGUUUGUAUGUGUCUAAAUGUUGAUGAUUUAAAUCGAUGACCAAGUUCCUGUAAACUGUGAGAAUUUCAUGGAAAUAUACUGGCAUAUUUCAAGU